AGUUUGCUGGAGGCUCCUGGGUGGCUACAGGUGGCACCUGAAUGAAGGGCCUGAAAACAGGGGAACCUACUGAGAAACGGUGUCUUGGGUGGAGCUCCAUAGAAAACACAAGAAAAGUGAAAGUAUCCAUGAAGCAUGAAAGAAAAUGGAGCUCAAUGACUGCCUGAAAGAUUGGUUCAUCAAGUGGACAUGGAUCCUGGGCCUUGUAAUAAUGAUGAUACCAAUGAUGAAGACAGUUCAGAAUCCCUAUCAGCCAGCUAAGUUGACCUGGAGCGUUGUCUCUAUGCUCACUGGAGAUCAAAUACACUCAGCUCCCUGAGACACCAUCCUUACACCUGUUGGCCCGAUCUUGUUUUUGAUCCCUGUCAGCUUGCAGCAGGCCUAGGCACUUGGGAUAUAUGUAAUCAAUUACCCCAUGGAGGUUUACCUGAGUGUGAUGGAAAAGACUCCUCCUCCCCCAAACCUUACUCACAUAAAGGUUUAAUUGGAAAUUUGGGAUGUGGACAUCUGGUGUGUAGAGACAAUCUACGCACUUGUUCUUUUUAUGUGUGCCCCAGGAUGGCAGGACUAGAUCCCAGGCUCACAACUGUGGAGGUACAAAAGAUUUUUUCAGUGCUGCUUGAGGACCUGAGACCACAAGAAAUGUUUAUUGGAAGCCCCAAAGAGAUUUAAUUACAGUAGUGAGGAAUUCAACAGGUCCUGGCCUGUUUAUUUCUAGUUGCAAAGGCAAUGAACAUUAUUUUUGUCAUGGCUUUAGUUGUGCCUCAAUUGUGCUGUCUGGGUCCUUGACAGGAGUAGGAUCUUGUGUAAGGUUUUUUGGUUUGGUUUGGUUUGGUUUGGUUUGGUUUGGUUUGGUUUUUUUGUAACCCUAUUGUAGUGAAUGUCACUGAGUCUGGCAAAAAGGUUAGAGAAGACUGGUUUAAAGGAAGGACUUGGGGAUUUAGAAUAUAAAAAACUGGUUAUGAUGAAGGAUUACUCUUUAAGCUUAAAAUUGCACCUAUGCCUUUUUCAGUAGGACCUAAAAAGAUCAUAAAUAAGGCCAAAAAGAGGAACAACAGAGAUAAAGAGAAGAAUAAUGCUAAUAGAAAUAGGAGUAAUACUGCUUUCUUACUUUCUUCUCCAGGGUCUGGUACCCCUCAUAGUCCUACAGUUGCCACCACUACCUUUUCUACAUUUGCUACUCAGCUAACAGAAUUAAUGGUAGGCAGGUUUCAUAUGCUUAAUGAUACUUAUCCUAAUAUCACUAACUCUUGUUGGCUUUGCUAUGAUAUAGCUCCUCCUUACUAUGAAGGUAUUGCUUAUUAUCCAGCAAUGUUUCUUAUUCUAAUAGCUCUUGUGGUUUUCGAUGGAAACAGAAAUCUAGCAUAGGUCUUCCUCUACAUGAAGUUUCUGGACUAUGUACCUGCAUAGUGAAAAAUUCAUAAAGAUAAAAGACAGAGUUUAUGUAAUCAAAUGCUUACUGUUUCCACCUCUUCAUCUUAUUUUAUUUCUCCAAAAGAGGGAUAGUGAGUUUGUUCCAUAGGUCUUACCCCCUGCAUUCACACAUAAGUAUUUGAUAGCUCCAAAGAUUUUUGUGUGUUGGUUCAACUUAUUCCUAGACUCAUUUAUCAUCCUUAUGAGGUGCUCUUGGAUCAUUGGGAUGGAGACUUCUCUCGAUCCAAGAGAGAACUUGCUAUUGCAUUAACUAUUUCAGUACUGAUGGGGCUCAGUAUGGGAGGAGCAGCUACGGGCACUUCUGCCUUAGUUUUGCAAGGAAAAAUUAUGAGUUCCUUAGAACAGCACUAGAUACAGAUAUAGAAAGGAUAGAAACUUCUAUUUCUUGUUUGCAAGAGUCUCUAACCUCCUUUAUGAGGUAGUCCUUCAAAGCAGGAGAGGACUUGAUCUUUUAUUCCGUCAAUAUGGAGGACUGUGUGCAGCCCUCCACAAAGAAUGCUGCUUUUGCAUCAAUCAUUCAGGAGUAGUAAAGGAUUCUAUGGCUAAAGUUCAAGAAGGACUGUCCAAAAGGAAAAGAGAAAGAGAACAGAAUCAGGGAUGGUUUGAAUCCUGGUUUUCCACUUCUCCAUGGCUUACAACUUUAAUUUCUACAUUGCUUGGACCAUUAAUUAUAAUUUUGUAGCUUUUGGGCUGUAGAGAUAGUUCAGAGGUUAAGAGCACUGACUGCUCUUCUGGAGGUCCUGAGUUCAAUUCCAAGCAACCACAUGGUGGCUCACAACCAUCUGUAACAAGACCUGAUGCCCUCUUCUGGUGUCUGAAGACAGCAACAGUGUACUUACAUAUAAUAAAUAAAAUAAAUCUUUAAAAA
ensembl:antisense